CAUUUCGUAAAGGUUAAUUCACAGCUCCAGGUUGAUGAAGUGCACCGCCGGUGCCAUCUGCAUUUUAGCGCAGCCGCCCUGUCAGUCAAACCCUCUGCCCUGCUCAGCCGGCCUCUCUCCCUCGGAGGGAACGUCCCCCUGUCCCCUCCUGGCCCCGUCCGCCCUCCCCACAUGCAUUCUCCUUCCUUAGUCGAGGGGGAGACAAAAUUGUUGUCUUCCAUUCCGUGAAUUCCCUUUUCCUUUAGGCAGCUGCCUUUCAAAUUCCCACAUUCAUGAUUUAAUAUAAAAUAAUAAUAACCUUCCCUUCACAAAUUCCAGUGGCAAAAAAUUCAGAUGUUUUUUCUUUCCAUCCUCACUUCUUCCUCCCUCCCUCUCUCUCUCUUUCCUUCUUUUAUCUUCCUUCCUUCCUUCCCUCCCACCCAACCUCCUUCCCUCUCUCCUUUUUUCCUUCCUUCUAGACUUUAAUUUUAAUGCCUUUUCCCAUAGGGAGCAAAAACUCCAGGACCUCUCAUUUCCUUCAUGCUGUUUCUGGAACCCAGGGUCACACGUGAGAGGCGCUGCAGCGCCGCGGGAGGGGGGGCCUCUGGCCAUCGUCCUGGACCAUCGGCACCUUGUGGCGACACGUCCCCACUCAUUGGCCCCCAGCAGCCGUCCACGCAGCCCACCAGUACUGCUCCUGGUCCCAUUCACGGCUAUAGGCGGCCCCCAUUCCUCUGCGCAUUAUGGGACGGAGCCAUGCUCUUCGUGAUUCUGCCAGUAACGAUGCCCCUCACUUCUCAUGAGGGGGCCUGCACAGCUGAUAUUGGAAGACCAGACAAGAAUAAAGGCCGGUCAGAGGUUGGCAGUAUGUAGCGGUGACAACACCCGAUAAGCAGACGCCUCUUCCCAUAAUGCACUGUUAUGGGCACCUCACCAUCUAGAUGCCAACCCAGAGGACAAGGGACCUGAGGCAGUUGAGCCUCGCGUGACAUUCUGAGGAGCCAGGAGCCCAGCGAAUCACCCGUGCCUGCACAGUGUUGUUGAUUAGACGUUGGAG